CAAUAGCUAAUUAACCAGCAAUCAACAGCAAGUAACUAGCUUAAUCAAAUCAAAUGCCUUAUAAUUACCAACAGGAAUUCAAACCUUGGGCAAUCAGUAACCUUUUCCUACAGAUGAAUCUUAACUGUAACAGUAGAAAAGAAAGCUGGCCACCCAGUAAUAAGCACAAGUUAGAAUGUGGGCAACUCGGCAGUCAUUACGCAGGCCCUUUGGUGACUCUAGAUAACCUCGGACCGAUCUCACGUCCCCAUGACGGCGACGAUGCAUUCGGAUGUCUGUCCUAUCAACUUUUGAUUGUUCUUUCUGCACCUACCAUGGUGACCACGGGUAACGGGGAAUCAGGGUUUGAUUCCGGAGAGGGAGCCUGAGAAACGGCUACCGCAUUCAAGGAAGGCAGCAGGUGCACAAAUUGCCCAUUCCCGACGCUGGGAGGUAGUGACGAUAAAUAACAAUGCCGGACUCUUUCGAGGCCCUGUAAUUGGAAUGAGUACACUUUAAAUCCUUUAACAAGGAUCUAUUGGAUGGCAAGUCUGCUGCAGCUGAAACUCCACU